rnacentral:lncRNA from 1 species
UUCUUUUUAGAUUGCACAGGAAUAGAAGCCCAUUUUAUUCUUCUAGGGCCCUGCAGAUACGUUAGCCCAAACAGUGUCCUUUUGAAAUUGGAAGAGCCCUCCUUAUCUUCAAAUUCCUGUUUCUUCCUCUUCCUGUUCCAUUCCUACCAAACUGACCAAAAUAUAUCAUACCACAACUGGUGUAUGACUCAUAAUGUUCUCUUUGUGUUUAGAAGGUUUGUUGUUGUUGUUUAGUCAUGUCCGACUCUUUGUGACCCCAUGGACCAGAACACGCCGGGCCCUCCUGUCUUCCACUGCCUCCCGGAGUUGGGUCAAAUUCAUGUUGGUCGCUUCGAUGACACUGUCCAACCAUCUCAUCCUCUGUCGUCCCCUUCUCUUGCCUUCACACUUUCCCAACAUCAGGGUCUUUUCCAGGGAGUCUUCUCCCUUGGUGUUAUUACACAACUUCAUACGAUUUAGAAACCCCUCAUUUGUGUCCCACUCCUCUGGUACCCCUUCAUUAGAUGUGGGAAACAUACUGAUGUUGGAUGUACUGUUUUCCCCCAUAAUGAGACCAACAAUUUGCUAUGUUUAGAUCCAACAUCCACAUCCCUUCCAGCAUCUCUGUUGGGUAAGCUGCCACCUAUUGAUAGAAGGUCAUGCAAAAAGCUGGACUGGACUGGAGGAAUCCCAAGCCGGAAUUAAGAAUGCCGGAAGAAAUAUCAACAGCCUCCGAUAUGCAGAUGAUACCACUCUGAUCGCAGAAAGUGAGGAGGAAUUAAGGAACCUUGUAAAUGAGGGUGGAAGAGGAGAGUGCAAAAAAUGGUCUGAAGCUCAAAACCACGACAGAGGGAGAUAACGUUUCCGGAUGAACCAUUUUCCUGCCUUCCCCUUGCCCAAGAAACAUUUGCCGUUGUCAAAACAAAUGGCAGAGGGAGCUGGGAAGAUGGAGCUUCAUCUACUGAGCAUGCUGAUGCAACUAUUCAUCUUGAGGACCGGGCAAGCUCUCAUGACAAAGAUUGUUUGUGCAUCUGGAGAACAAACCUCACUUCCCUGCGAAGUCUCAAGCUCCCAUACACGUUGGUUCUGGUUCCCCUUGAAUCCCACAUGUGCUAACAUAAGUGGGAAUUGGGUGGAGAUAGCCCAGAAUCAUACCACACAUGAAGUGACUCCUCUUCGGUUCAACCAGCGCCUGACAUUCUACAAUCAAAAAUCAUUGCUUCUCAGGAAUCUGGUCAUGAGCGAUGCUGGUAUCUAUCUGUGCCGCCUCCCCAAUGGCUCAGAAACUCACACUGAACUGCAGGUGGACCCAGGCUGCCACAACAACCUGCUUGUCUCCUAUGAGUGGCUUCAUCCUUCUUUGUUGAAACUCAGUUGCCAUCACUGCAUUUUCCAGAGGAGGACAGACUCUUUCCGCUGGGUGGUGAAUUCAAAGCCACUGGGGAACCGACGCUGGGCUAAGAAGAGCAACCAUGGGUCUACCGUCAUGCUACAUCCCUUCCGGCAAACCGUUUGGGGCCGCUGGGAGUGUCAUUCCCUCGAUUACACUUCCUGGGUCUCUGAAAUUUGUUUGGUUGCGCCCAUCAGAUACAUGGAAGCAGAUUUCGGUUCUGCAGACACAACAUCGUGGGCCUCCUUCCUUUCGUCAAGUUCUCCCCUUGCUAGGACCACAGAUGUUACACCCACUGGGCAUGCUCUGAAGAGGAUAGCUGUCUGGAUUUGGACCUUGCUGUUGGUGGGGCUGGUUUUGCUCCUGGCUGCUCUCGGAAUGGCUGUGUGGUUGAAGAGGAAACACCAAGAAAGAAAGAAAUGGACAGAUCCAACCAGACAGAAGGAAAUAAUGAAAAAGGAGAAUCUGGAUGAGAGACCUGCUUCCCUUUAUUAUGCUCAACUACAACAUCCCCGAAGGAAAUCCACCAGCAUUCGAACCGCAGACAGCUCCACGGUGUAUGCAGUCAUCGUCUGACACCAUUUCCAUCAUUUUUCACUCAUGCCUUAAGAGGGAGAGGGAGAGAGAGAGAUACACACACUAUUUCAUGACCUACAAACACUGCUCUGUAAAGUACUAGAAGAUUAUAGUAGACUUUCUACAUAUUUCCAUCUCUAAAUGUUUGGCUCAAACGAGAUGUUAGCGGAAUGCUGAUUCUGUUUGAUUACCCCUUUUCCUCUCCCACAAUAGCAUCUCAACACAGACAAUGAGACUUGCAAAAUAAACUUGUUUGUACUUUCCA